rnacentral:rRNA from 1 species
UACGUAGGGGGCAGGCGUUGUCCGGAUUUAUUGGGCGUAAAGAGCGUGUAGGCGGCCAUACAGGUCAGCUGUGAAAACUCGAGGCUCAACCUCGAGACGUCGGUUGAAACCGUAUGGCUAGAGUCCGGAAGAGGAGAGUGGAAUUCCCGGUGUAGCGGUGAAAUGCGCAGAUAUCGGGAAGAACACCCAUGGCGAAGGCAGCUCUCUGGGCAUUAACUGACGCUGAGGAGCGAAAGCAUGGGGAGCGAACAGG